rnacentral:ncRNA from 2 species
UUUGAAUUAAAUCUAUUUAGUUUUUGCAAAGUUUUGCAGGAAACAGGUGAAAUUCCUGUGCUGUUCCGCAGCUGUAAAGUGGAGAUUUUCCUCGGCAAUUGUGCAGCCACUGUUAUUAUUAAUGGGAAGGUGAGGGAAGUCGUUGAAGCUAAGCCAGAAGACCAAUUGAAUAGACUCUAUUGUU